rnacentral:rRNA from 1 species
UUAAUGAGAGUUUGAUCCUGGCUCAGGACGAACGCUGGCGGCGUGCCUAAUACAUGCAAGUAGAACGCUGAAGAGAGGAGCUUGCUCUUCUUGGAUGAGUUGCGAACGGGUGAGUAACGCGUAGGUAACCUGCCUUGUAGCGGGGGAUAACUAUUGGAAACGAUAGCUAAUACCGCAUAACAAUGGAUGACCCAUGUCAUUUAUUUGAAAGGGGCAAUUGCUCCACUACAAGAUGGACCUGCGUUGUAUUAGCUAGUAGGUGAGGUAACGGCUCACCUAGGCGACGAUACAUAGCCGACCUGAGAGGGUGAUCGGCCACACUGGGACUGAGACACGGCCCAGACUCCUACGGGAGGCAGCAGUAGGGAAUCUUCGGCAAUGGGGGCAACCCUGACCGAGCAACGCCGCGUGAGUGAAGAAGGUUUUCGGAUCGUAAAGCUCUGUUGUAAGUCAAGAACGAGUGUGAGAGUGGAAAGUUCACACUGUGACGGUAGCUUACCAGAAAGGGACGGCUAACUACGUGCCAGCAGCCGCGGUAAUACGUAGGUCCCGAGCGUUGUCCGGAUUUAUUGGGCGUAAAGCGAGCGCAGGCGGUUUGAUAAGUCUGAAGUUAAAGGCUGUGGCUCAACCAUAGUUCGCUUUGGAAACUGUCAAACUUGAGUGCAGAAGGGGAGAGUGGAAUUCCAUGUGUAGCGGUGAAAUGCGUAGAUAUAUGGAGGAACACCGGUGGCGAAAGCGGCUCUCUGGUCUGUAACUGACGCUGAGGCUCGAAAGCGUGGGGAGCGAACAGGAUUAGAUACCCUGGUAGUCCACGCCGUAAACGAUGAGUGCUAGGUGUUGGAUCCUUUCCGGGAUUCAGUGCCGCAGCUAACGCAUUAAGCACUCCGCCUGGGGAGUACGACCGCAAGGUUGAAACUCAAAGGAAUUGACGGGGGCCCGCACAAGCGGUGGAGCAUGUGGUUUAAUUCGAAGCAACGCGAAGAACCUUACCAGGUCUUGACAUCCCGAUGCUAUUUCUAGAGAUAGAAAGUUACUUCGGUACAUCGGUGACAGGUGGUGCAUGGUUGUCGUCAGCUCGUGUCGUGAGAUGUUGGGUUAAGUCCCGCAACGAGCGCAACCCCUAUUGUUAGUUGCCAUCAUUCAGUUGGGCACUCUAGCGAGACUGCCGGUAAUAAACCGGAGGAAGGUGGGGAUGACGUCAAAUCAUCAUGCCCCUUAUGACCUGGGCUACACACGUGCUACAAUGGUUGGUACAACGAGUUGCGAGUCGGUGACGGCAAGCUAAUCUCUUAAAGCCAAUCUCAGUUCGGAUUGUAGGCUGCAACUCGCCUACAUGAAGUCGGAAUCGCUAGUAAUCGCGGAUCAGCACGCCGCGGUGAAUACGUUCCCGGGCCUUGUACACACCGCCCGUCACACCACGAGAGUUUGUAACACCCGAAGUCGGUGAGGUAACCUUUUGGAGCCAGCCGCCUAAGGUGGGAUAGAUGAUUGGGGUGAAGUCGUAACAAGGUAGCCGUAUCGGAAGGUGCGGCUGGAUCACCUCCUUUCUAAGGAA